UACGUAGGGACCGAGCGUUGUCCGGAAUCAUUGGGCGUAAAGCGCGCGUAGGUGGCCAUGUAAGUCCGCUGUGAAAGUCAAAGGCUCAACCUUUGAAAGCCGGUGGAUACUGCAUGGCUAGAGUACGGAAGAGGCGAGUGGAAUUCCUGGUGUAGCGGUGGAAUGCGCAGAUAUCAGGGGGAACACCAAUAGCGAAGGCAGCUCGCUGGGACGUUACUGACACUGAGGCGCGAAAGCGUGGGGAGCGAACAGG
rnacentral:rRNA from 1 species